rnacentral:lncRNA from 1 species
UUUGGCAUGUUCCAAGGCUUCAUUUGUCCAGCUGAAAAGGUCAUUCAGUGGAAUCAAAUCCUAAGUAUAGUCCUAGCUGUGUUCAGGAAGGAGAAAUGUAAUCUGACUGUUCUGUUCUCAGGCACUCAUCUCAUUCUGAACCACAUGUGCCAUGGGAUUGUGGACAAAGUCAAUGUCUUUGGUCUUGUUAAUAGUUGCCCUUGGGCCUCCCAGAAAAACCUUGAAGGCCUGAGUUCACAACUUUGCUGGAGAUUGACAGGUGGAAGAAGAUGUUCAAGUGAUGAACAUGAAGAGAAACAAAUCCCUUUAAGGUGCUAUGGCAAUCGCUCUCCUUGCCUGCCAAGACAAGGCCAAGAAAGGCACGAAGGAGACCCAACCUUGCUAAAACAUGGCAGAAAUGACCCUGGUAGACGCUGUUGGAGAACGCAUUGGUGCAGACCUGCUGAAGGGUUCUGAUCCACUGUCACGAGGCGUUGGUUCCUCUGCACCUAGGACUCUACCUCUUCCUCCCAGGUGGGGUAUGCAUCCAUUCAGGCAUGAAUUUAUUUGUCGCACAGCACUUCUUGAAAUGUAUGGAGGUGUCAGCUUUCAAUGGAAUUUGCUUCUGAGUAGUUCUACGGCCUGGGUUAGCCUCAUGUGCUGCCUUCCAGGAGUAGGAAUCCAGGAACAGCCUGGUCCCCCUGGGCAGGUGGAUGGCUUCACCCUGAUGCUCUACCUCAGUGACAUCUAGUGGCAAGAAGACAUGGCCAUCCACCGCGCUGCCAGCUUCCCACUGUGAGGGACGUGCUGGUGUUAUCUCUUACAGCCAGGGUGAACGCACAUUCAGAUCCGCCUGGGACAGACUGGGCCCAUAUCUAUUGUCCAGGCGUCAUUAUUAAUAGUGUCUGCUUCCACUCUUGAAAGCGUUAACAGAUUGGAUAAUGAAUUACACAGCCUACUUAAUGCCUUAUUGUAGUUCCCCCAUCUAUUAGGUGACUUAACACAUCACUUUGGGGUAAUGAGUUCAAGAAGAUUACUCCCCAUUGUGUAAAGUAAUAUUUAUCUUUAUCUAUCCUGAAAUUAUCCUUCAAGCAUUAUGGGAUUGUUUCCAGCUCUAACGCUAAGGCUGGGUGAACAAGCUCAUUUGAUAGAUUUUAGUCUUACCC